rnacentral:rRNA from 1 species
GCACCACAAGGGGUGAAGCCUGCGGUUCAAUUGGAGUCAACGCCAGGAAACUUACCAGGAGAGACAGCAGGUUGAGGGUCAGACUGAAGAUCUUACCUGACGAGCUGAGAGGAGGUGCAUGGCCGUCGCCAGCUCGUGCCGUGAGGCGUCCUGUUAAGUCAGGCAACGAGCGAGACCCCUAUCCGUAAUUGCUAACUGCCCAGAGAUGGGUAGAGGCUAGUUACAGAGACUGCCGCUGCUAAAGCGGAGGAAGGAAGGGGCCACGGCAGGUCAGUAUGCCCCGAAACUCCUGGGCCACACGCGGGCUGCAAUGGUAGGGACAAUAGGUCCCGACCUCGAAAGAGGAAGGCAAUCCCGAAACCCUACCCCAGUUGUGAUCGAGGAUUGAAACUCGUCCUCGUGAAUAUGGAAUCCCUAGUAACCGCGUGUCAUCACCGCGCGGUGAAUACGUCCCUGCUCCUUGCACACACCGCCCGUCGCUUCACCCGAGUUGGGUCAGGACGAGGUCAUCUCAUGUUGUGGUGAUCGAAUCUUAACUCGGCAAGGGGGGAG